GGUUGUUCACAACAUUACAAAGCUCUUGACAUAUCAUAUCGCGGGCUGGGUCGAAGAGGACGACCUUCCCCGAUAGAGGAGGACCGGUCUUCCGUCAAGGGUAUAGGAGUAGCUGCGCUCCCCUGCUAGAACCUCCAAACAAGCUCUCAAGCUUUUCUUCUUGAAUUUUCAAAUCUGGGGGUGGGGUGGGGGAAUUGCCAUUAAACCUUGUAAUUCUUCUUAAUGGUAAUUCUUCAGA
rnacentral:sRNA from 1 species